AACGAACGCUGGCGGCAGGCUUAACACAUGCAAGUCGAACGCACCGCAAGGUGAGUGGCAGACGGGUGAGUAACACGUGGGGAUCUGCCCAAUGGUACGGAAUAGCUCCGGGAAACUGGAAUUAAUACCGUAUGAGCCCGCAAGGGGAAAGAUUUAUCGCCAUUGGAUGAACCCGCGUCGGAUUAGCUAGUUGGUGUGGUAAAGGCGCACCAAGGCGACGAUCCGUAGCUGGUCUGAGAGGAUGAUCAGCCACACUGGGACUGAGACACGGCCCAGACUCCUACGGGAGGCAGCAGUGGGGAAUAUUGGACAAUGGGCGCAAGCCUGAUCCAGCCAUGCCGCGUGAGUGAUGAAGGCCUUAGGGUUGUAAAGCUCUUUCGCCGACGAAGGUAAUGACGGUAGUCGGAGAAGAAGCCCCGGCUAACUUCGUGCCAGCCGCCGCAGUAAUAC
rnacentral:rRNA from 1 species